CAACUACUCCCUCUGUCCCAAAUUUCUUGUCUUAGAUUUGUCUAGAUAUGGAUGUAUAUAAUACUAAAAUGUGACUUGAUACAUCCGUAUCUAGACAAAUCUAAGACAAGAAUUUUGGGACGGAGGGAGUACUUU
rnacentral:pre_miRNA from 1 species